UACAGAGGUCUCAAGCGUUGUUCGGAUUCAUUGGGCGUAAAGGGUGUGUAGGUGGCGGGGCAAGUCUGGUGUGAAAUCCCGGGGCUCAACCCCGGAACUGCACUGGAUACUGCCUUGCUAGAGCACUGGAGAGGGAACUGGAAUUUACGGUGUAGCAGUGAAAUGCGUAGAUAUCGUAAGGAAGACCAGUGGCGAAGGCGAGUUCCUGGACAGUUGCUGACACUGAGGCACGAAGGCUAGGGGAGCAAACAGG
rnacentral:rRNA from 1 species